rnacentral:misc_RNA from 1 species
UACCUCUUUUACGAAAUCAGUUAAUAGCGGAAAGGGAAUUCCUUUAUGCGUAAUAAAGUUCAUGUCGAUCAUGUUUCUUAAAUGAUUUAUAUGCACUUUCUAAUUCAUAAUUAUCCGUCAAAUAAUUUGAUAAAUUACUUUCAUUCUGUCUUUUAGCUUCAUAUUUGUUAGAUAAAAUGUUUCCUGUUUGCAGAUCCAACGGUUUCCAAACGGUAGAAUGCAGGAAAGAUGGAAGUAAACAUGCUGAGGAACUGAAGAGUUAUUUCAUCAGAUUUACUCAUGAAGUUAUAAAUUUUAAGAAGCGUAUUUUAUUUGUCGCAAGAGAUAAAUAAGAAAGGAAAUAACAACAGAUUAACUAAGUGCUAUGUCUACGCGAAAUUUUAAGAACUUCCCUUUCUACUAAUGUUGAUUGUGUCGCAAUCAAACUGUCCGACAUCUGGGCGAUUUACAAAAGGGUUACAAGCUGGCAAGGUUUUCCUCGU